GAUGAACGCUGGCGGCGUGCCUAAUACAUGCAAGUCGAGCGAACGGACGAGAAGCUUGCUUCUCUGAUGUUAGCGGCGGACGGGUGAGUAACACGUGGAUAACCUACUUAUAAGACUGGGAUAACUUCGGGAAACCGGAGCUAAUACCGGAUAAUAUUUUGAACCGCAUUGUUCAAUAGUGAAAGACGGUCUUGCUGUCACUUAUAGAUGGAUCCGCGCUGCAUUAGCUAGUUGGUAAGGUAACGGCUUACCAAGGCAACGAUGCAUAGCCGACCUGAGAGGGUGAUCGGCCACACGGGAACUGAGACACGGUCCGGACUCCUACGGGAGGCAGCAGUAGGGAAUCUUCCGCAAUGGGCGAAAGCCUGACGGAGCAACGCCGCGUGAGUGAUGAAGGUCUUCGGAUCGUAAAACUCUGUUAUUAGGGAAGAACAGAUGUGUAAGUAAAUGUGCACAUCUUGACGGUACCUAAUCAGAAAGCCACGGCUAACUACGUG
rnacentral:rRNA from 1 species